UACGAAGGGGGCUAGCGUUGCUCGGAAUCACUGGGCGUAAAGCGCACGUAGGCGGAUUGCUAAGUCAGGGGUGAAAUCCUGGAGCUCAACUCCAGAACUGCCUUUGAUACUGGCGAUCUCGAGUUCGGGAGAGGUGAGUGGAACUGCGAGUGUAGAGGUGAAAUUCGUAGAUAUUCGCAAGAACACCAGUGGCGAAGGCGGCUCACUGGCCCGGUACUGACGCUGAGGUGCGAAAGCGUGGGGAGCAAACAGG
rnacentral:rRNA from 1 species